AGAACACUUGAUCUCUCAGGAAAUACAACAGUCUUCUCUGGCAAAAGGAAAUAAUUCAGAUUCAUUUUCAUUUGAAUAUUUAAGGUUGAACAAACAUUAAAGAUGGAAACAGCUGUGAAGUUCAUUCUCAUUGGAUGUCUGAUAAAAGAUGUUUUGUGUGACUUCAGUAUCAAUCUGCCAGAGAGGAUAGAAGCUCUAGAAGGAUCCUGUGUUUUCAUACCCUGCACUUUUGAUAUCGGCC